UGGACCCUGAUGCAAAGUGACGGUGAUAGAGGACUGAGCGUCUCAUGAAGAACAGAGUCGCGAAGGUCCGAGGUCACCGCAUCUUUCAAAAACCACUUAUGCCAAACAAGAAAGCACUUUUUUCCUGGGAAGGAGCUCGGCAACGUUCGUCCUUGGAUCUGAAAACAAGCAGCUCAUCAGCAGCGUCUUUGUUGAACAUACAGUACACGGGAACAAACUCAGAUGAAAGUGUACAGUUCUAUAAGAAGAUUCCUUAAUUGUCACCUUUUGUGAUGUGUGUAUGUGAGUCUGUAAUGUGUGUGUGCGUGUUUCGAUGUUUAUAUGAGAGGUAAUCUGUGGUUUGUUUAUGGGAUGGAGGGCAGCAUGGUGGCGUGUACUGGCAGAGGGUGGAAAAGAAACUAUAGUACAUGUAACUUGAAUAUACUAAUAAUAAUUAUAAUAAAAAUAUAUAGUAAGAAUGA